rnacentral:lncRNA from 1 species
AUCAGAAUUAUUCUGGGCACAGAGAUUUUGUUUUUCUGGUAACGGACCAGAUUCUAUAAGGGUUUAAAGUUCUCUUUCGCUGUAAAUGCUGCAGCUUUGGGAACUGUUUGGCAUUGAAACUACGUGGUUUUAUGUGUAAUCACUCUUUUUUCGUGACUCUCUGGAAGCUGCGAAGUGUUAUUUAGAACUGCUGUAGGCAAAAAGAAUCAUAUUUCUGUGUCAUUCUUCAAAGAUGUUUGUGUGAUGACAGCUUGAUUCUUCAGACCUGCUCAAGGACUCUUUUCUUCUCAUUUGCCUUUAUUUUGAUGGUUUGGGGAAACAUCUUUUAGAGAAGAACAUGUCAUGAACAUGAGAGCACAGACAUCUCUUCCACAGACUGACUUCAAAUCUUUUGAGCAAAUACCCAGGAGUAAGAUUGCCAGAUCAUAUGAGAACCAGGAACCCUGGGAACUUCAUUUCCUAGACUUUCAAGAAGGACUUCAAAGAUUUUAGAUACUUCCAAAAGUAGAAACCAGUAGAAGAAAGUACUGUGCCUCCAGAGAAGACA